GCCAGGAAUGGUAGCCCAUGCCUGUAAUCCCAGCAGCUUGGGAGGCUGAGUCAGGAGGAUGGCAAGUUCAAAGCCAGCCUCAGCGGCUUAGUAAAAUCCUAAGCAACUUAGUGAGACUCUGUCUCAA
rnacentral:sRNA from 1 species